CAUCAUUUUCUCUUUGGCGUAACAUCUAAAAUCUCUUCAUUUUAGCAUAAUUUCACAGAUAAAGCACUAAACAUACUUUUUAAGUUUGUUUGCCGCUUGAGAAACGUUUCAAAGAAUUUGAAUAUAGUCAUAACCAAGUGGAAAAGUACAGUAUAUAGUCAUUAUAGUGUUGUGCGCGUUUUACGUAACAUACACAAGAUUCUUCGAAUUCUCUUAAUUUGAUAGUGCACAAAUAAAACUUAUACU